CGUAGGGCGCGAGCGUUGUCCGGAUUUAUUGGGCGUAAAGAGCUCGUAGGCGGCUUGUCGCGUCGACUGUGAAAUCUCAGGGCUCAACUCUGACAUUGCAGUCGAUACGGGCAGGCUAGAGUUCGGUAGGGGAGACUGGAAUUCCUGGUGUAGCGGUGAAAUGCGCAGAUAUCAGGAGGAACACCGGUGGCGAAGGCGGGUCUCUGGGCCGAUACUGACGCUGAGGAGCGAAAGCGUGGGGAGCGAACAGGAUUAGAUACCCUGGUAGUCCACGCUGUAAACGUUGGGCGCUAGGUGUGGGGGGCCUCUCCGGUUUCCUGCGCCGCAGCUAACGCAUUAAGCGCCCCGCCUGGGGAGUACGGCCGCAAGGCUA
rnacentral:rRNA from 1 species